ACUCCUACGGGAGGCAGCAGUGGGGAAUAUUGCACAAUGGGCGCAAGCCUGAUGCAGCCAUGCCGCGUGUGUGAAGAAGGCCUUCGGGUUGUAAAGCACUUUCAGUCGUGAGGAAGGCGGGUACGUUAAUAGCGUAUUCGUUUGACGUUAGCGACAGAAGAAGCACCGGCUAACUCCGUGCCAGCAGCCGCGGUAAUACGGAGGGUGCGAGCGUUAAUCGGAAUUACUGGGCGUAAAGCGCAUGCAGGUGGUUUGUUAAGUCAGAUGUGAAAGCCCGGGGCUCAACCUCGGAAUAGCAUUUGAAACUGGCAGACUAGAGUACUGUAGAGGGGGGUAGAAUUUCAGGUGUAGCGGUGAAAUGCGUAGAGAUCUGAAGGAAUACCGGUGGCGAACGGCGGCCCCCGUGGACAGAUACUGACACUCAGAUGCGAAAGCGUGGGAGCAAACAGGAUUAGACUACCCGUGGUAGGACAGUG
rnacentral:rRNA from 1 species